CCUGUUCUGGUCCCGUGUCUCUCUCUCCCUCUAUCAUCUUAGAGGUCCACUGUUUGUUCUAAACAACCCUUAGACCGUGUUAUAAAACCACAUAGUACCUGCUAACAACAACAACAGUUUAGUCCGGAGGUUACAAAGUCUUCCAAUGUCAACAUCGUCCCCAGCCUCUUAAUGUCCCAAACCCCCAGCCUCUUAAAAUGUCUUAAUGUCCCAGCCUCUUAAUGUCCCCAGCCUCUAACUCCAACAGAGAGGUUACAAAGUGUUCCAGUGUCAACAUCGUCCCCAGGCUCUUAAUGUCCCAGACCCCCAGCCUCUUAAUGCCCCCAGCCUCUAACUCCAACAGAGAGGUUACAAAGUGUUCCAGUGUCAACAUCGUCCCCAGCCUCUUAAUGUCCCAGACCCCAGCCUCUUAAUGCCCCCAGCCUCUAACUCCAACAGAGAGGUUACAAAGUGUUCCAGUGUCAACAUCGUCCCCAGGCUCUUAAUGUCCCAGACCCCCAGCCUCUUAAUGCCCCCAGCCUCUAACUCCAACAGAGAGGUUGCAUAAUGAUUUGAAUGAAUGUUAGUUUUCUGUCGGACCAAAGGUUGUUCUGAAUGAAGCACGUUGAACACUGUCCUCCUGUCUGUGAGGUUACACAGGUGCUGCUCACUGUCUUCCUGUCUGUGAGGUUACACAGGUGCUGCUCACUGUCUUCCUGUCUGUGAGGUUACACAGGUGCUGCUCACUGACUUCCUGUCUGUGAGGUUACACAGGUGCUGCUCACUGUCUUCCUGUCUGUGAGGUUACACAGGUGCUGCUCACUGUCUUCCUGUCUGUGAGGUUACACAGGUGCUGCUCACUGUCUUCCUGUCUGUGAGGUUACACAGGUGCUGCUCACUGUCUUCCUGUCUGUGAGGUUACACAGG
ensembl:lncRNA